GCUUACGCCAUACCACCCUGAACACGCCGAUCUCGUCAGAUCUCGGAAGCUAAGCAGGGUCGGCCUGGUUAGUACUUGGAUGGGAGACGCCUGGGAAUACCAGGUGCUGUAAGCU
rnacentral:rRNA from 1 species